UACGGAGGGGACUAGCGUUGUUCGGAAUUACUGGGCGUAAAGCGCACGUAGGCGGAUUUGUAAGUCAGGGGUGAAAUCCCGGGGCUCAACCUCGGAACUGCCUUUGAUACUGCAAAUCUCGAGUCCGGAAGAGGUGAGUGGAAUUCCGUAGUGUAGAGGUGAAAUUCGUAGAUAUUAGGAAGAACACCAGUGGCGAAGGCGGCUCACUGGUCCGGUACUGACGCUGAGGUGCG
rnacentral:rRNA from 1 species